rnacentral:rRNA from 1 species
CGGACGGGUGAGUAAUGUCUGGGAAACUGCCCGAUGGAGGGGGGUAACUACUGGAAACGGUAGCUAAUACCGCAUAACGUCGCAAGACCAAAGAGGGGGACCUUAGGGCCUCUUGCCAUCGGAUGUGCCCAGAUGGGAUUAGCUAGUAGGUAAGGUAACGGCUUACCUAGGCGACGAUCCCUAGCUGGUCUGAGAGGAUGAUCAGCCACACUGGGACUGAGACACGGCCCAG